GGGUUUGUAGCUCAGCUGGUUAGAGCACACGCUUGAUAAGCGUGAGGUCGGAGGUUCAAGUCCUCCCAGACCCACCA
rnacentral:tRNA from 1 species